AGCGGCAGGCCUAACACAUGCAAGUCGAGGGGUAGAAAGAGCUUGCUUUUUUGAGACCGGCGCACGGGUGAGUAACGCGUAUGCAACCUACCUUAUACAGGGGAAUAGCCCGAAGAAAUUCGGAUUAAUGCUCCAUGGUUUAUCGAUAUGGCAUCGUAUUGAUAAUAAAGAUUUAUCGGUAUAAGAUGGGCAUGCGUAUCAUUAGCUAGUUGGUGUGGUAACGGCAUACCAAGGCAACGAUGAUUAGGGGUCCUGAGAGGGAGAUCCCCCACACUGGUACUGAGACACGGACCAGACUCCUACGGGAGGCAGCAGUGAGGAAUAUUGGUCAAUGGAGGCAACUCUGAACCAGCCAUGCCGCGUGCAGGAUGACGGUCCUAUGGAUUGUAAACUGCUUUUGUACAGGAAGAAACCUCCCUACGAGUAGGGACUUGACGGUACUGUAAGAAUAAGGAUCGGCUAACUCCGUGCCAGCAGCCGCGGUAAUACGGAGGAUCCGAGCGUUAUCCGGAAUUAUUGGGUUUAAAGGGUCCGUAGGCGGCCUUAUAAGUCAGUGNCUGAAAGUUUUUGGCUUAACCAAAAAAUUGCCAUUGAUACUGUAGGGCUUGAAUAUCUGUGAAGUAACUAGAAUAUGUAGUGUAGCGGUGAAAUGCUUAGAUAUUACAUGGAAUACCGAUUGCGAAGGCAGGUUACUAACAGAUGAUUGACGCUGAUGGACGAAAGCGUGGGUAGCGAACAGGAUUAGAUACCCUGGUAGUCCACGCCGUAAACGAUGGAUACUAGCUGUUUGGUUUUCGGACUGAGUGGCUAAGCGAAAGUGAUAAGUAUCCCACCUGGGGAGUACGGUCGCAAGACUGAAACUCAAAGGAAUUGACGGGGGCCCGCACAAGCGGUGGAGCAUGUGGUUUAAUUCGAUGAUACGCGAGGAACCUUACCAGGGCCUUAAAUGUAGAUUGACAGAUUUGGAAGCAGAUUUUUUCUUCGGACANUUUACAAGGUGCUGCAUGGUUGUCGUCNGCUCGUGCCGUGAGGUGUCAGGUUAAGUCCUAUAACGAGCGCAACCCCUGUUGUUAGUUGCCAGCACGUAAAGGUGGGAACUCUAGCAAGACUGCCAGUGUAAACUGUGAGGAAGGUGGGGAUGACGUCCAC
rnacentral:rRNA from 1 species